rnacentral:rRNA from 1 species
GACGAACGCUGGCGGCGUGCCUAACACAUGCAAGUCGAGCGGAGAACUUCGGUUCUCAGCGGCGGACGGGUGAGUAACACGUGGGUAACCUGCCUUGUAGAGGGGGAUAGCCUUCCGAAAGGAAGAUUAAUACCGCAUAACAUUAUUUUAUCGCAUGAUAGAAUAAUCAAAGGAGCAAUCCGCUACAAGAUGGACCCGCGGCGCAUUAGCUAGUUGGUGAGGUAACGGCUCACCAAGGCGACGAUGCGUAGCCGGCCUGAGAGGGUGAACGGCCACAUUGGAACUGAGACACGGUCCAGACUCCUACGGGAGGCAG